GUUUUUACUUUAAGAUCUGAACAAAUUUUUUUUUGUUAGGGUUUCCUUCUCGUUUUUUUGUUCUUGUUUUUGUCUCUUGCCUUAUUUUGUUCUUCCAUUCUCUUAUUUUGUUGUUUGAUGUUUGGAAUUUUCAGAUCUGUACAACAACUUAUUUUUUUGCAAAUGAUGUAUGUAACGUGCGAAUCCUCCGUGUACAGCCACGACAUCUACGGCUGUGAAGCACCAUCCGCGCAUUCGUCGUCCUUAGCCGGUGACAACCACUCAUCCCUCACGGCUUCUCUGUAUAUAUUUCAACAUCUCUUGUGUAUUAAGGCACUCUGUUUGGGUCUCUUUUUUUUAUGCAUAUUUUUGGAUUUUUUGGUUGGAUUUGUUCUUUGUUGGUUCUUCCUCGCGUGGUGGCUCAGAUCCGCUGCCUAUGGCUGCGUGUAGCAGCCAACGACCACGGCAGAAGGUGAAAUAUUUUUCGUUUGUAUAAUAUUUCACCAUUGUGUAUUAACGUACUCUGUUUAGGUUUUAAUUUUUUAAUUUUUAAUUUUUUUUAUCUGAUCGAUAUUUUCGGUUUGUUGGUUAGAUCUGUUGUUUUUGGUUGAAGGAAGUUUUUGUUUUUCCUGAUGGAUAUUUCUGGGUUUUUUUCGUUGAAUUUGUUGUUUGUUGGGUCUUUCUAACAUCGCAGUUCACAUCGACUGAUAAUGGCCAAUCGGCAGCCCACGACCACGUCGGAAGGAUGUACGAACAAAUCUGAAGAUUAAAUUUCAGAAGAUCCAAUUUGUAUGAUGGGUUUAAUUUUUUUGUUGGGUUUACUCUGUAAAUAAAGAUGUAAAUAUGCAAAUAUAGUUUUAUCUUUCCAUUU